rnacentral:lncRNA from 1 species
UCAAAAUGGUGUCAAACGAAAAUAAGGGCGCAAGGCCCAUAUGCAAAUGCCUCGCCGAGGAAGGGCGUGUGUAAGUGAUAUAAUGGUGUAAACCUGAAAAGUGCAUGGGAUUAAGGGGAUUAUUGUCCCAAUGCGCUAUAUGGAGGAGUUAGGAGAAAUUUUCAUAACAAUGGAAUUCAAAAGUGAAAAUCGAAAGUGAAAUAUUGCACGCCAUGAGGUCAAACACAAUUAAACUCUUCAGACCUCACACCACAUUCCUCCACCGUGCUGGAGGUCGCCUUUGGCGGCGGUGGAAGCACAGAAUAGAAAUUCUCAUCACCAAUAUCUUAGCCCUUACAUGUUUUCUCUACAUAUCAUGUCAAUUUACCUUAAUUUUUAUUCUAAAGCUCGAACCAAAACAAGGUCAUGAAGAACCCUAAACGACAAAACAAAAAUUAAAUGGCCACCCCUGGGAAUUAGAGCCCAAGAUGUUAGGGCUUUAAUUCCCCACAUCUCCACUCACAUGUCCAUACCUUAAUUGGAGAAAGAAGAUAAAAUUCAAGCUUACCUUCUCCAGAGAAGAUGAUAACAACAACGAGGCUUCCGGUAAGUUCUUAACUCCGUAACUCUUUUUGUUUCUGCAUUUGAUUGAUCCUCUUCUUCUCCUUAUUUUUUCUGGUGUUUAAUUUUGUUCCAAGUCGAGUCAUGUUUGAUGUUGAUAUGAGUUGAUGAACAAAUUAUGAUUGAGUUUGAUCAAUUGAGAGUGAGGUUGAUUUAUGAAGUUGAGUGAUGAAUGAUUGUGAGAUUGAUGAUGAAUGUGAUGAUCCUCGAGUCUCAGCAGAGAUGAUGAAUUUGGUGAAGAAAAAUGGGAAAUAAGAGAGAGUUUGAGAGCUUACUCAAUGAUGAUGAAUUCAAGAAAAUGGAAGGGUGAAUGGGGAUAGAGGGUCAGAGAGUUUUUUAUGGUGAAUGGGAUAUGAGUGAGCGCUAGGUUGAUGCAGUUGAUGAAUGAUUAGGUUAUAUAAAUGGUUAUUCAGUUGCUUAGGUGGUUGGAAUUUUGCAAUUGAAUUUUGUUAGGUUGUUGAAGGUAGUUGAUGUAAUUAAAGUCAGUUGGGAAUUGGUUUUUGUUAGUGAACUAAAUUUAGUUUUGAGUUGAGAAAUUAGUUAGCUAUUAAUUGGUUGACUGAUAGUUAGCAAUUAUGUUUCAGGUUGGUUAGGGAAUAUGGUGUGAAGGUUAGAUGGUCUUAUGAAGUGAUAGUUUUUUUGAUGAAUUUAUGUUAAUUCACUGUUAUUUGGGUUAGUUAUGAAUCGGGCCCUGUUAGUCAUGUAUGUGAUUGUUCAGUUAUGGUGUGGAAUGCAUAGAUGUUGUUGUUGAUGAUUGUUAAAUGUUAUUCCAUGUUGAUAUUGUAUGGUUAUGAGGCAUUAUAAAUGUGAUAUGUUAUCUGCUUGUUAAUCAUCACAAUUAGUAUUGAUUGAAUAACCAUGUGAGUGUAUGUCUUGCUGCAGGCCUGUUCUGAAGUUUGCAUUGUGGCCGCUUGUGAAUGAGUUGUUAUGUUUUAUAGUGAAAAUGACAUGAUGCUUUUCCUAUGUUAUUGUGUGUAUGUGAAUGAAUGUAUGUGGGAUACAAUGAAUGUUUUUGGAUGUAGGCUAGGGCUGUUAGAAAUGUAUCGUUUAUGGCUAAUGCAUUGGUGUGAACAAAUUGGUUUGGUUAUUUUUUGUUGGAUAUGCAAACAUGAAAUGAUGGAAUCAAGGCAUGACAUGUACUUGAAGAAAGAUGGUGAAUAUUUGGAUUAUGGAAAGAUCAAGUGGAAUUAUUAAGUGAAGGUCGUGGGUUUAGGAUGGUCAGAGUUGGUUAUUUGACUUUGGUCAACUUGUUGACCAAAAGGUCAAUAGUUGACCAAAAGUCAACUUAGGUAGAAAAGUUAAUUUUCUUGUAAUCUCUCAUGUAUGGAUAAUUGUGAUGUAUGUUUGUAUGAAUGUAAUGAGAUUUUGAAAUGAACAUGACUUUGGGGAACUACUUUGAAUGGAUCACGAAAUGAAUUUGUGUUUAAUGGAAUGGAUUUGAGUGAACAAUGACUUAAUAGAAUGAAUGAAAUGGACUUUGAAUA